AUUGAACGCUGGCGGCAGGCCUAACACAUGCAAGUCGAACGCGUGGCGGACGGGUGAGUAAUGUCUGGGAAACUGCCUGAUGGAGGGGGAUCACUACUGGAAACUGUCGCUAAUACCGCAAAACAUCGGGUGUGCACAGAUGGGAUUAGCGAGUAGGUGGGGUAAAGGCUCACCUAGGCGACGCUCCCUAGCUGGUCUGAGAGGAUGACCAGCCACACGGGAACGGAGACACGGGCCAGACUCCUACGGGAGGCAGCAGUGGGGAAUAUUGCACAAUGGGCGCAAGCCUGAUGCAGCCAUGCCGCGUGUAUGAAGAAGGCCUUCGGGUUGUAAAGUACUUUCAGCGGGGAGGCGUUACCCGCAGAAGAAGCACCGGCUAACUCCGUGCCAGCAGCCGCGGUAAUAC
rnacentral:rRNA from 1 species